CUGCUCCAGAUUUUGUCUGCUAUUUUUUGAAACUAAAAUUCGGGCAUCCGGUAGAGGCGCUGACUGUCCGCAUCAGUCAUAACAAUUCAUUGUUAGGACAUGGUUAGGACCUGGUGCAUCAUUUGGAAAAGACCAUUUCUUUCUUCUCUUUUAAAUAACGAUCGGCUAUAGCGGUGACGUUCGCCGUGUCUUCGUCUUCUUACACAAGAAUCAAAGCCGAUUUUCCCUUUCUUGAUAAAUUCGCUGCGUUUUUCUUUUUCUGCUUCUUCUUCUUCUUGGCUGGCCGGCAAUAUAGUGACUGGGAAUGUGUGACAGCCCAAAGAGUUGCUGGAAAUAUCCCUUACUAUAUAUAGACGGCACGCGGUUCUUGAUAAGAAUACCCCGAAUCUAAUAAACCUCUUUAUAUAAACACACAGAUGCGCGUUCUGCUCAAAAAUGGCUCGAUGGACCAGCGCCCCGUCGCAUAACUGGUUGUUAUGCGACAAUAUAACUAUACAACCUAUUGCAGCAAUGGAAACGCGCAGACGGACGUACUGAUCUCUCCGUGCGCGUUUGCGUAACACGCUAACCCACCCAGCUCAUUUAUAGACUUUGUCAUAUUUUCAAAACAAUUAUUAGCCUAUUUUAUACGCAGAGGGCGGAAUGCGCGAAAGACAAACAAUCAGACAAGAAUCAGGAAAUCUAAUGGCGAAUUGUGAUUGUUCAAGGGCUUUCGCUCAGGCGCAUUUACAUCGACGAUAACGAGGCCGUCCUCUUUGGCCUGUCCUCGCUAUACGACAAAGAGCAUCGCGCAUUCCCGAUGCGAAACAAGAAGAAGAAGAAGAAAACAGGUUUUCUUUUUCUUUUUCUUGCCGAUAUUAUUCGUCCUCUGAAAUCAAUUCAAUGGAAAAAGCCAAGGCGGAAUUGUUUUCUGUUGUCUUCCUCUAAAUAGCAGAGCUUUGCGAGGAUUCAAGCGCUUGUAUCGGCCGCUAACUUAUACUUUUUCUUAACAGACGGUGGCGGGACAAGCCUCGGUUUUCUUUCCAACGAUAUUGAGUAGCCCUUUCAACAUUCUGUCACAAUCAAAAAUUGAAAAAAAAGCAACAAAAACACCGCAAAAUGUCAAAAUUGGUUGUGUAAAAUGUUUAUUAAUGUGCAAUAUCAGUGUAUCGAUUUACACAGUGUAAGAUAUCCAGAUGUAAUACAAAAAUUAAGUUGAAA